GCAUAUCAAUAAGCGGAGGAAAAGAAACCAACUGGGAUUACCUUAGUAACGGCGAGUGAAGCGGUAAAAGCUCAAAUUUGAAAUCUGGUACUUUCAGUGCCCGAGUUGUAAUUUGUAGAAUUUGUCUUUGAUUAGGUCCUUGUCUAUGUUCCUUGGAACAGGACGUCAUAGAGGGUGAGAAUCCCGUUUGGCGAGGAUACCUUUUCUCUGUAAGACUUUUUCGAAGAGUCGAGUUGUUUGGGAAUGCAGCUCAAAGUGGGUGGUAAAUUCCAUCUAAAGCUAAAUAUUGGCGAGAGACCGAUAGCGAACAAGUACAGUGAUGGAAAGAUGAAAAGAACUUUGAAAAGAGAGUGAAAAAGUACGUGAAAUUGUUGAAAGGGAAGGGCAUUUGAUCAGACAUGGUGUUUUUUGCAUGCACUCGCCUCUCGUGGGCUUGGGCCUCUCAAAAAUUUCACUGGGCCAACAUCAAUUCUGGCAGCAGGAUAAAUCAUUAAGAAUGUAGCUACUUCGGUAGUGUUAUAGCUUUUUGGAAUACUGUUAGCCGGGAUUGAGGACUGCGCUUCGGCAA
rnacentral:rRNA from 1 species